AUUGAACGCUGGCGGCAGGCCUAACACAUGCAAGUCGAACGAGCGGCGGACGGGUGAGUAAUGUCUGGGGAACUGCCUGAUGGAGGGGGAUAACUACUGGAAACGGUAGCUAAUACCGCAUACCAUCGGAUGUGCCCCGAUGGGAUUAGCUAGUAGGUGGGGUAACGGCUCACCUAGGCGACGAUCCCUAGCUGGUCUGAGAGGAUGACCAGCCACACUGUAACUGGGACACGGUCCAGACGCCUACGGGAGGCAGCAGUGGGGAAUAUUGCACAAUGGGCGCAAGCCUGAUGCAGCCAUGCCGCGUGUAUGAAGAAGGCCUUCGGGUUGUAAAGUACUUUCAGCGAGGAGGCGUUACUCGCAGAAGAAGCACCGGCUAACUCCGUGCCAGCCGCCGCGGUAAUUC
rnacentral:rRNA from 1 species